rnacentral:rRNA from 4 species
AUGCCUUGGUAGUUUGGGCCGAAGAAGGAUGUGUGUUUGAGCACAAAAACAGAGGCGAGUCCUCCAACAGACACUUUAACCUCUGGUUUCCGAAUGGGGCAACCCCACCCUGUGUAAGCAGGGUGACUAGGUACCGUCUGGUACCUGGGGGGCACUUGGUGAACUGAAACAUCUCAGUAACCAAUGGAAAAGAAAACAUAUGUGAUUCCGUUAGUAGCGGCGAGCGAAAUCGGAACAGCCUAAACCAGCCCAUUGGGCUGGGGUUAUAGGACCACAGUAGGGAGUGAUUUUUGAUAGAAGAAUGUUUUGGAAAAAACAACCAUAGAAGGUGACAGGCCUGUAUUCAAAAUUAAAAAUUACCUCGGUGGGUUUCCUAAGUACCACGAGUCACGGCAAACCUUGUGGGAAGUUGGGUCGGUCAUGAUCCAAGGCUAAAUACCCAAACUAACCGAUAGUGAACUAGUACUGCGAAGGAAAGGUGAAAAGUCCCCCGGUAAGGGGAGUGAAAUAGAAACUGAACCCAUUAGCUAACAAACAGACAGAGUCAGGUACCGUCUGGUACCUGAUGAUGUCGUGCCUAUUGAAGAAUGAUCCAGCGAGUGGCCUGACGAACGUUUGUUUAAUCCCGAUUAUCGGGAGUAGGCAGAGGGAAACCGAGUCCUAACAGGGCGAUUUACGUCGUCAGACCGACCCGAAACCAGGUGAGCUAACCAUGGAUAGGGUGAGUCCCGAUGAGAGUCGGGAGGAAGCCCGAACCCGUUGUCGGUGAAAUGGCAUGGGACGAUUUGUGGUUAGAGGUAAUAUGCCAAUCGAACCUGGAGAUAGCUGGUUCUCCUCGAAAUAUAUUUAGGUAUAGCCCCGAACUUUUUUUUUGCGAGGUAGAGCGACUAGAUGUCUCACCAAGCGUAAGCGAGGUGGGACAACUAAACUCCGAAUGCGCAAAAAAUAGAACGGGAGUCAGUCGUGCCUGGAUAAGCAGGUAAUGGCAAAAGGGAAACAACCCAGAUUCCUGUCUAAGGUUCUAAAUUGACUUUUAAGUGAAAAGGCCGUUAGUUUUCUAACACAGCAGGGAGGUUGGCACAGAAGCAGCCAUCCUUAAAAGAGUGCGUAACAGCUCACCUGAAUAGUCAGGUACCGUCUGGUACCUGAUAGAAAGCUGGCGCCAAAGAUGAUCGGAACUAAAUUGUCAACCGAAGACGGAAGAAGGUACCGUUUGGUACCUCCGGUAGAGGAGCGUCCCGAUAGCAGCGAAGUAUUGAUGUAAAUCAAUAUGGAGUUAUCGGGAGUGAGAAUGCUGGAAUAAGUAGUGAUUCUCCCGAUGAAAACUCGGGAUGCCGAAAAUCUUAGGUUUCCUCAGCAACGUCAGUCGUCUGAGGGUUAGGCGGAUCUAACCAUGUACCGUACUGGUACAAGGGAUGUACAAGCCGUUAAUAUUCGGCUUCUUAAUAUAAAACGUUAUCACUUUAAGAACGACGAAAUUUGAUAGUCUCGGUCUCCUUCGGGGGAUCUAAGUAAUCAGUCAGGUACCGUCUGGUAUCUGAUGAGUUACGAAUGUAAGUUUGACGCAAGUCGAGCAAUCGGGAUGACUUAAGUUUCCGAGAAAAGUUUUUAAGGGAGUUUUAUAUUAAUCCGUACCGCAAACCGACACAGGUAGAUUGGUAGAGAAUACUAAGGCAUACGGGUAAGGGUGGUUUAAGGAAUUCGGCAAAAAAACUGAGCGUAAGUUUUCAAGAUGCUCUGUCCCGCCUAGCGGGAUCGCAGCGAAAGUUUACUAACCGACUGUUUAGCAAAAACACAGGUCCCUGCAAACCUCAAAAGGGAGGUAUAGGGGCUGAAACCUGUCCAGUACUGGUAAGUCAAGAAUUGAGGGUGAGGAGGUACCAUACGGUACCUCCAGGCUUUUGAUUUAAGCUCCAGUGAACGACAGCUCUAACCUUGAGAGUUCUAAGGUAGCGUAACCCCUUGCCGGGUAAGUUCCGGCCCGCAUGAAAGGUCUAACGAGUUAGUAACUGUCUUGAACCACUGCCCGACGAAAUUGAAAUGGCUGUGAAGAUGCGGCCUACUUGCACCUGGACAAAAAGACCCCGGGAGCUUUACUGAAGUUAGAUAUUGGUAAAUGAUAAUUAACUGUUGAGCGUAGGAGGGAGGGCGCUUAGCGCUCGUCAAUGAAACACCUCUCUUUGAUUAUUUUUUACCUUAGCCCGCCUAGCGGGCGACAGUGUUUGGCGAUCAGUUUAACUGGGGCGGUUUCCUCCAAAAAGGUAACGGAGGAGUACAAAGGUCAGCUUAUUCCGGAUGGAAAUCGGAAUGUAAGUACAAAUUCAUAUGCUGGCUUAACUGUGAGGACUAUCAUCCGAUCAGAUGCGAAAGCAGGUAUUAGUGAUCCCCCGACGCACUAUGAUCGUGGUCGGGGCUUAACAAAUAAAAGCUACCCCGGGGAUAACAGGCUAGUCGCGCCCGAGAGUUCAUAUCGACGGCGCGGUUCGGCACCUCGAUGUCGGCUCACCGUAUCCUGGAGCUGAAGUCGGUUCCAAGGGUUGGACUGUUCGUCCAUUAAAACGGUACGCGAGCUGGGUUCAGAACGUCGUGAGACAGUUCGGACUCUAUCCGGUGCAAGCGCAUAGAUUUUUGAGAGAGAUUUCCUACAGUACGAGAGGACCUAGGAGAAAAGAUCCCUGGUGUACCGGUUGUUUAUCGCAUUGCCGGGUAGCUAAAUCUUUAAUCGAUAAGCACUGAAUGCAUAUCAAGUGCGAAGCGAGUCUCGAGAUAAAGAAUCUGUAUCAGCUUUCCCGUAGAUUACGGGAUU